rnacentral:rRNA from 1 species
UGGGGAAUUGUUCGCAAUGGGCGCAAGCCUGACGACGCAACGCCGCGUGGAGGAUGAAGAUUUUCGGAUCGUAAACUCCUUUCGAUCGGGACGAAUGGCUGGAGACAUAAUACGUCUUCAGAGUGACGGUACCGAGAGAAGAAGCCCCGGCUAACUCCGUGCCAGCAGCCGCGGUAAUACGGGGGGGGCAAGCGUUGUUCGGAAUUACUGGGCGUAAAGGGCGCGUAGGCGGAACAUUAAGUUAGGGGUGAAAGGCCUGGGCUCAACCUGGGAACGGCCUCUAAGACUGAUGAUCUUGAGUCCGGAAGAGGAUGGCGGAAUUCCCAGUGUAGAGGUGAAAUUCGUAGAUAUUGGGAGGAACACCAGUGGCGAAGGCGGCCACCUGGCCCGGCACUGACGCUGAGGCGCGAAAGCGUGGGGAGCAA